UACAGAGGGUGCGAGCGUUGUCCGGAAUCACUGGGCGUAAAGGGCGCGUAGGUGGUGGCUUAAGCGUGCGGUGAAAGCUCGGGGCUCAACUCCGAGUCGGCCGUGCGAACUGGGCUCACUGGAGCAUAGUAGAGGCAGGUGGAAUUCCGGGUGUAGCGGUGGAAUGCGUAGAUAUCUGGAGGAACACCGGUGGCGAAGGCGGCGAUCCUGGACCAACACUGACGCUGAGGAGCGAAAGCCAGGGGAGCAAACGGGG
rnacentral:rRNA from 1 species